AUUGAACGCUGGCGGCAUGCCUAACACAUGCAAGUCGAACGAGUGGCGGACGGGUGUGUAAUGUCUGGGAAACUGCCUGAUGGAGGGGGAUAAUUACUGGAAACGUUAGCUAAUACCGCAUACCAUCAGAUGUUCCCAGAUGGGAUUAUCUUGUUGGUGGGGUAACGGCUCACCAAGGCGCCGAUCCCUAGCUGGUCUGAGAGGAUGACCAGCCACACUGGAACUGAGACACGGGCCAGAAUCCUACGGGAGGCAGCAGUGGGGAAUAUUGCACAAUGGGCGCAAGCCGGAUGCAGCCAUGCCGCGUGUAUGAAGAAGGCCUUCGGGUUGUAAAGUACUUUCAGCGGGGAGGCGGUACCCGCAGAAGAAGCACCGGCUAACUCCGUGCCAGCAGCCGCGGUAAUAC
rnacentral:rRNA from 1 species